UACGUAGGAUGCAAGCGUUGUCCGGAUUUACUGGGCGUAAAGCGCGCGCAGGCGGCAGGUUAAGUAAGGUGUGAAAUCUCCCUGCUCAACGGGGAGGGUGCACUUUAGACUGACCAGCUAGAGGGCGGUAGAGGGUGGUGGAAUUGCUGGUGUAGCGGUGAAAUGCGUAGAGAUCAGCAGGAACACCCGUGGCGAAGGCGGCCACCUGGGCCGUACCUGACGCUGGAGGCGCGAAGGCUAGGGGAGCGAACGGG
rnacentral:rRNA from 1 species